rnacentral:rRNA from 1 species
UCGGAGUCUGCAACCCGACUCCGUGAAGCUGGAUUCGCUAGUAAUCGCGCAUCAGCCAUGGCGCGGUGAAUACGUUCCCGGGCCUUGUACACACCGCCCGUCAAGCCAUGGGAGCCGGGGGCGCCUGAAGUCCGGGACCGCGAGGACCGGCCUAGGGCGAAACUGGUAACUGGGGCUAAGUCGUAACAAGGUAAC